rnacentral:lncRNA from 1 species
UCUCAGCCGCUUCUUGAUUCCCUUCAACCUCUGCAGUAAUAGAAAACCAACCACACAUAGCUGAAAAUUUGUAAAGAAGAACCCAACCUUGGUAUUGGGAUGCUCUCCGGCGGCGGCCGGUUUGAAGAGAGGAAUGGGAGAGAAGGCCGCCGGAUUUCUUGAAGUUGAUAUGAUUCUUGAUCAACAUUUAUAUUUGACAUUUCUUGGCGAGAAAGCGAGAGUUUCUUGCAGCCGGUGGCGGAGGGGGGGUUGAGAGUGGCCCUUUUGGGAAGAAGGGAUCGGGAUAGCGGAGACUGUCUCUUGCCGGAGUUGCCGCCGUCGCAGGCGGUGGAGAGGUGGCGCAUGCAUGGAGCCGCAGAUGUUGUCUUCUUGUUGGAUUUUUUUUGGAGGUAAUUGAUUUCUUUUCUUUUACGCAACAGAGGUCAAUAUAUAGGCGCUUCAAAGGUGAGUUUCUUGUAAUUUUUUUUUCCUUUUAAUUGCUUUAAUAAAAUAUUGUAACAAAGAAGAUUAUAUGUAAACUCAAGAACAUAAAAUAUGGAGGAAAGAGGGAUAGAAAAACCUUGAGCAUCAGUAAAAUGGUAAUAGGAUAAUAUUAUCUUACAAAUAACAUAGCUUACUUGAAUCUCAUUGGGAAAACCGAUGUUUGAUUUUCUGCAACUCUACAUGUGCUUGUUUCAUGUUGAUUCUAUCCCCGGGAGAGUCGGCAGAGCAUUUCAGAGCCAAUUCAAGUAUGGAUGACACGCACUGCAUAUUCUUGUCAAUUUAUUCCUUCAAAUUUAUGNUUAUGUU